UGCUGGAUAGCUCAGUUGGUGGAGCAUGAGACUCUUAAGCUCUGGGUUGUCGGUUCAAGCCCCACCUUGGGCAA